rnacentral:lncRNA from 1 species
AUUCUUUAUGGCUGUUACAUGAAUGUAAUAAAAACCUAUGUUAAUAUAUAUAGUAGCUUCCCUAUGACUGCCAGAGGUUUAUGUUUUGCUUCUCAGACAACCCCCUCUGAAUUUAGUGUGGCAUCAUCAGACGCUCCUGGCCAAGAAUUACCACCAUCAGAUUUAAUGUUGGCACCAUAUGGCGUGCGACAGAAUAUUUACCAACAUUAUAGUAUACCCAAGAUUACUGAGAUGUGGACAGAGGAUUGUAGAAGCUUUAAUGUCUUUUUAGUCCAGGCUGGAUCAUUUUCAUCAACCUCACCCAUGAAUGUGUCUGGAGCGUGGUUCAUCCUUCAUCGGACCAGUUAAUCGACAAGAAUCGACUAUUCAGAAACGUCAUGAGAAGCGGCCUUUACACAAGAGGAGCCACAUGGCCCUAUAAAAUGGCGCCACGUCCAUUUGGCAUUAUGGAGUUAUGUAAUAACCAAAGAAUGGGACAAGACCAUGCUGGACUCUUUCGUGACCAAUGAAGCGGCAACUGGGGCACCAGCAAUUUGACCUCUUUGGAUCUCUGUUCGUUGCCUCGAGCUGCUUUGAAAGCCCGCAUACCAGAGUGCUGAUAUUCACAGAUCCCUGUGUAACUGUGAUUUAGCUACUUUAAUGUUUUAGAGUUUCGGAUGUUUUGUCAGCUCUCUGUAGAAUUUUUCAUGGGUGAAUUUCUAUAAAAGCUCUAUAAAAAUUGUGGAGGGGCUGAAUUAUACAUUAUGACUUUCUGUCUUUAAAAA